CCAAUAGCGUAUAUUAAAGUUGUUGCAGUUAAAAAGCUCGUAGUUGAACUUCGGGGUUCACCCAUUGGUCAGGCUUAAUUGUCUGUACUGGUGAGAUGAGUCUCUACCUUCUGAGGAACUUUCAUGCCAUUUAUUUGGUGUGGUUGGAAAUCAGGACUGUUACUUUGAAAAAAUUAGAGUGUUUAAAGCAGGCUAACGUCUGAAUACAUUAGCAUGGAAUAAUGAAAUAGGACGGAUUGAUUCUAUUUCGUUGGUUUCGAGGGUCACCGUAAUGAUUAAUAGGGAUAGUUGGGGGCAUUAGUAUUCGAUUGUCAGAGGUGAAAUUCUUGGAUUUAUUGAAGACUAACUACUGCGAAAGCAUUAGCCAAGGAUGUUUUCAUUAAUCAAGAACGAAAGUUAGGGGAUCGAAGACGAUCAGAUACCGUCGUAGUCUUAACCAUAAACUAUGCCGACUAGGGAUCGGACGCAGUUAAUUUUAUAAUGACGUGUUCGGCACCUUACG
rnacentral:rRNA from 1 species